UACGUAGGGUGCGAGCGUUAAUCGGAAUUACUGGGCGUAAAGCGUGCGCAGGCGGUUCGUUGUGUCGGUGGUGAAAUCCCCGGGCUUAACCUGGGAAUGGCCAUGGAAACUGGCGAACUGGAGUGUGGCAGAGGGGGGUGGAAUUCCGCGUGUAGCAGUGAAAUGCGUAGAGAUGCGGAGGAACACCGAUGGCGAAGGCAGCCCCCUGGGCUAGCACUGACGCUCAGGCACGAAAGCGUGGGAGCAAACAGG
rnacentral:rRNA from 1 species